rnacentral:tRNA from 1 species
GCGGGAAUAGCUCAGCCGGUAGAGCAUCAGCUUCCCAAGCUGAGGGUCGCGGGUUCAAGUCCCGUUUCCCGCUCCA